rnacentral:rRNA from 1 species
GACAGAGGUGGCAAGCGUUGUUCGGAAUUACUGGGCGUAAAGGGCGCGUAGGCGGUUCGUUAAGUCCUGUGUGAAAUCCCCCGGCUCAACUGGGGAACUGCACAGGAAACUAGCGGGCUUGAGUUCGGGAGAGGGAAGCGGAAUUCCGGGUGUAGCGGUGAAAUGCGUAGAUAUCGGGAGGAACACCAGUGGCGAAGGCGGCUCACUGGACCGGUACUGACGCUGAUGCGCGAAAGCGUGGGGAGCAAACAGGG